rnacentral:rRNA from 1 species
CUACGGGGCGCUGCAGUGAGGAAUAUUGCACAAUGGGGGGAACCCUGAUGCAGCAACGCCGCGUGGAGGAUGACGCAUUUCGGUGUGUAAACUCCUUUUAUAUGUCAAGAAAAUGACGGUAGCAUAUGAAUAAGCACCGGCUAACUCCGUGCCAGCAGCCGCGGUAAUACGGAGGGUGCAAGCGUUACUCGGAAUCACUGGGCGUAAAGGACGCGUAGGCGGGUUGGAAAGUCAGGUGUGAAAUCCUACAGCGUAACUGUAGAACUGCACUUGAAACUUCUAAUCUAGAGUAUGGGAGGGGGAGAUGGAAUUAGUGGUGUAGGGGUAAAAUCCGUAGAUAUCACUAGGAAUACCUAAAGCGAAGGCGAUCUACUGGAACAUUACUGACGCUGAGAUGCGAAAGCGUGGGGAGCAAACAGGAUUAGAUACCCCCGUAGUC